rnacentral:misc_RNA from 1 species
GAUGGGAGAGAGAACACAACAUAUACCAUGUCCAUUUUGGGAAAUUCACAUUUUGCAAACCUUCUGGAUCGCACCUGUCAAGUCCCAAGAUUGGGUGUGCGCGUUGACACUGGAGGGCCAUAUGAAUAUCUCCAUUGACUGCAAGCCGAGCAUUUGUCCAACUUCACACUAUUAUUCAAGGUACAGAAUUUGCAGGACCACGUUUUAUACUUGGUGCUCACAUCUUUGGGCCUUUCUGUACUGCAAAGCUUGCAGAUUGGGCCUAAUGAUGGAUUCAAUAAUGUGCAUACUCCACACUCCCACAUGGCAUGUUCCUCUGCAUUAUGUACCUUGUCAUGAUUAAGUUUGGACCCUAAAGAUGAACCAACAUUAUCUGGCCUAGAGCAUCCUGUACUUUGGCCCACAUCUAAAAGGUCUUUUGUGACAUCAUUGCUACUUUCUCCUU